GGUAAUAUAGCUCAGUUGGUUAGAGUGUUUGCCUCACAGGUACAAGGCCCUGGGUUCAAUCCCUAGCACCA
rnacentral:tRNA from 1 species